GACGAACGCUGGCGGCGCGCCUAACACAUGCAAGUCGAACGAGCGAGAGAGAGCUUGCUUUCUCGAGCGAGUGGCGAACGGGUGAGUAACGCGUGAGGAACCUGCCUCAAAGAGGGGGACAACAGUUGGAAACGACUGCUAAUACCGCAUAAGCCCACGGCUCGGCAUCGAGCAGAGGGAAAAGGAGCAAUCCGCUUUGAGAUGGCCUCGCGUCCGAUUAGCUAGUUGGUGAGGUAAUGGCCCACCAAGGCAACGAUCGGUAGCCGGACUGAGAGGUUGAACGGCCACAUUGGGACUGAGACACGGCCCAGACUCCUACGGGAGGCAGCAGUGGGGAAUAUUGCACAAUGGGGGAAACCCUGAUGCAGCGACGCCGCGUGGAGGAAGAAGGUCUUCGGAUUGUAAACUCCUGUUGUUGGGGGAAGAUAAUGAGGUACCCCAACAAGGAAGUGACGGCUAACUACGUGCCAGCAGCCGCGGUAAAG
rnacentral:rRNA from 1 species